rnacentral:rRNA from 1 species
UACGUAGGGUGCGAGCGUUGUCCGGAAUUACUGGGCGUAAAGGGGACGUAGGCGGCCAACUAAGUCCGACGUGAAAUCCCAAGGCUUAACCUUGGAACUGCGUCGGAUACUGGAUGGCUUGAAUUCGGGAGAGGGAUGCAGAAUUCCAGGUGUAGCGGUGAAAUGCGUAGAUAUCUGGAGGAAUACCGGUGGCGAAGGUGGCAUCCUGGAACGGUACUGACGCUGAGACGCGAAAGCGUGGGGAGCGAACAGG